GCCUGGUUGGCCGAGUGGUCUAAGGCGGCGGACUUAAGACCCGCUCUCGAAAGAGGCGUGGGUUCGAACCCCACACCAGGCA